rnacentral:rRNA from 1 species
UACGGAGGAUCCAAGCGUUAUCCGGAAUUACUGGGCGUAAAGAGUUGCGUAGGUGGCAUAGUAAGCAAAUAGUGAAAGCGUGCGGCUCAACCGCAUAUCCAUUAUUUGAACUGCUAAGCUUGAGCGUGAGAGAGGUAGAUGGAAUUUCUAGUGUAGGAGUGAAAUCCGUAGAUAUUAGAAGGAACACCGAUGGCGUAGGCAGUCUACUGGCUCAUUGCUGACACUAAGGCACGAAAGCGUGGGGAGCGAACGGG